rnacentral:rRNA from 1 species
GACGAACGCUGGCGGCGUGCUUAACACAUGCAAGUCGAACGGAAAGGCCCUGCUUGCAGGGUACUCGAGUGGCGAACGGGUGAGUAACACGUGGGUGAUCUGCCCUGCACUUCGGGAUAAGCCUGGGAAACUGGGUCUAAUACCGGAUAGGAGCCAUUUUUAGUGUGAUGGUUGGAAAGUUUUUUCGGUGUAGGAUGAGCUCGCGGCCUAUCAGCUUGUUGGUGGGGUAAUUGCCUACCAAGGCGGCGACGGGUAGCCGGCCUGAGAGGGUGGACGGCCACAUUGGGACUGAGAUACGGCCCAGACUCCUACGGGAGGCAGCAGUGGGGAAUAUUGCAAUGGGCGCAAGCCUGAUGCAGCGACGCCGCGUGGGGGAUGACGGCCUUCGGGUUGUAAACUCCUUUCGCUAGGGACGAAGCUUUUUGUGACGGUACCUAGAUAAGAAGCACCGGCUAACUACGUG